CUGGGUGCUUCCUGAGGAGUGCUGUACAGCCAGAGAGCCUCUUUGCCAGCUGGGGGUGUGAGAUGGAUCCCUCUAUUUGUCUGCCUGUUUGAAUUUAUGCUGGUCGUCAAAAUAAGAAGCCUGGGAAAACCAGUGAGUUGUGAACAUGAGAGGCAGCUCCUCCAGGCUUCUCUGCAAAAAAGGCAGGUUCUAUGUCUCCCAAGCAAAGCAGUGCUUUCCCUCACACAAGCAGUCACCUAUUAGCUGCCACAGAGGGAAAAUACCUGCAUACACAGGGAGAGGAACAAUUAUGCUGCUCUGAAGCUUGACAAUCUGGAUCCUUUCUGAAAUGCUUCAGUUGGUGAAGCUGGAUGAUGAAAUCCCAAAAUCUGGCUCAAAACAUGCUGUCAUUUUAGUUUUGUUUUUUAAAGCAAGCAAAGUCAGUGGGAUUGGUUCAGUAAAGCACUGUUGUUUCAAAGUUGUAGGUAGGAUAUCAACGUUUUGGAAAGUUUUAAAAAAAUGCUUAUGUUUAUUGGUGCUGAUAGAUGCAUAAUUUUUCUUACCGUCUGUAAUAUCGUAAGCCUUGUCUGUUUGCAGAUGCUUAAAUCAUUUUGCAUUCCAGUGCAAAAGCAUUUUUGAACCUCUAGCCUGAAGAGUCAAUGAAAGUUGCAGGGAUACCUAGUCCUACCUGUUUAUGAAAAAUGAAAUUCUUGAAAAACAUGAUUCCUGUAAUUCUUUUAAAAACUUGGUGCCAAUUGCACGUUUCCUUCUAAAUUGUUAAAGUCUCUGUGUAAAUUUCUGCUUUUCUGUGGGAAAAAUGCAGGAGUAGAAUUCUGCAUUUUGCCAGAUCCUGCUGGGAAACAGCCGUGUGUGUACUUUGCACAUCUGUCAGAGCAGGUUGCUGAGAUCUCCAGACCUCAGGACUGUCCCAGUUGAUUUAGCUUUGGGACAUUUUUGUAAGCAACAGUGUCAUAAGUCUAUUUGAUAGCAGUGGGCAUUUAUUCUUCUGCAAAUGUAUCUUGACCUCCAUUUACCACUGUUAAAAAUCAUUGCUUUUACAGCUUCUGGGCUAGCUUAGAGCAGUUCUUUGCAGGGCAGCUGACGUGAAGAUUUAGAUAUGUGAGAUGUUUAUGAAUGUGAUGCACUGAAGGGAUCCAGGGAUCUUUACAGCUCGGGCAGCAUCUGCUGCCUUUCUCAUGCCAGCAAAGACAUGAGGACUGAGAAAGAAAACAAACAAAUGGGGACUCAGGGAAGGAGAUAAAGAAUUUUUAUGGGAAGUCCUCUCUCUCUCUCUCUCUCUGCUAUUCCUUAGCAAAGAAAUGGUAGAGAGGAAUAUUUUCAUCCCGUAUGUGACGAGGUGUACACAGUAACUGCUAAUUCUGCUUAUAGUUCUUAUCUCAUUUCUUAGUAGCUCUACCAGGAGCUGCUGUGCAUGCAGGCAGUGAGCUAUCAAUUUUCUGCUGCAGGACAAGAAGAGCAGAAGAAUAAAUUUCAUUUUGUGCAAGCCCAUUAGUCAGCUGUUAGUGGAUUUUCUCUCCUGACUACCUGCAGUGUAGCCUUUGACUUCUUUUUGUUUGUUUUUUCCUGUUUCUU